GGAGGGUGCAAGCGUUGUCCGGAUUUAUUGGGUUUAAAGGGUGCGUAGGGUGGCGUGUUAAGUCAGUGGUGAAAGCCUGCAGCUCAACUGUAGAGGUGCCAUUGAUACUGACAUGCUUGAGUAUGGACGAGGUAGGCGGAAUUUGUGGUGUAGCGGUGAAAUGCAUAGAUACCACAAGGAACACCGAUAGCGAAGGCAGCUUACUGGACCAUAACUGACACUGAGGCACGAAAGCGUGGGGAGCGAACAGGAUUAGAUACCCUGGUAGUCCACGCCGUAAACGAUGCUCACUCGAUGUAUGCGAUAUACUGUAUGCGUCCAAGCGAAAGCGUUAAGUGAGCCACCUGGGGAGUACGCUCGCAAAGAGUG
rnacentral:rRNA from 1 species